ACGGGUGAGUAAUGUCUGGGGAUCUGCCCGAUAGAGGGGGAUAACCACUGGAAACGGUGGCUAAUACCGCAUAACGCCGCAAGACCAAGGAGGGGGACCUUCGGGCCUCUCACUAUCGGAUGAACCCAGAUGGGAUUAGCUAGUAGGCGGGGUAAUGGCCCACCUAGGCGACGAUCCCUAGCUGGUCUGAGAGGAUGACCAGCCACACUGGAACUGAGACACGGUCCAGACUCCUACGGGAGGCAGCAGUGGGGAAUAUUGCACAAUGGGCGCAAGCCUGAUGCAGCCAUGCCGCGUGUAUGAAGAAGGCCUUCGGGUUGUAAAGUACUUUCAGCGGGGAGGAAGGCGAUGGGGUUAAUAACCUUAUCGAUUGACGUUACCCGCAGAAGAAGCACCGGCUAACUCCGUGCCAGCAGCCGCGGUAAUACGGAGGGUGCAAGCGUUAAUCGGAAUUACUGGGCGUAAAGCGCACGCAGGCGGUCUGUUAAGUCAGAUGUGAAAUCCCCGGGCUUAACCUGGGAACUGCAUUUGAAACUGGCAGGCUUGAGUCUUGUAGAGGGGGGUAGAAUUCCAGGUGU
rnacentral:rRNA from 1 species